UACAGAGGGUGUACAGCGUUAAUCGGAAUUACUGGGCGUAAAGCGUGCGUAGACGGUUAUGUAAGUCGGGUGUGAAAGCCCCGGGCUCAACCUGGGAAUGCCAUUCGAGACUGCAUAGCUAGGGUGCGGAAGAGGGAAGCGGAAUUUCCGGUGUAGCGGUGAAAUGCGUAGAUAUCGGAAGGAACACCAGUGGCGAAAGCGGCUUCCUGGUCCAGCACCGACGUCAGGCACGAAAGCGUGGGGAGCAAACAGG
rnacentral:rRNA from 1 species